rnacentral:lncRNA from 1 species
GAAGGAGAAAGGAAGCUCUGCGCGUGCGCGGCAGGUUCGCAGGGGGAGGAGGGCGCAGGAGGCUGCGCAUGCGCGGGAAGGGUCUUGUGUACUCUCGCCUUUCGUUAUCGCGCAGUGAAGUCCAGCCAGUUUGGACUCCCAAGUGGUUGCUGGGUCGCCCUUUUUCCAAGGUAGAUGCAAAGCGACGAGUGAGGUUUGCAGCUCUACCCUGUGCGUUGUGUGUAGGGGAGGAAGAACCUUUGGCUUCAUUUCCUCCCACUUUGGGGAUGCACAGCGUUGCUGCAAUAUUACCUGCAGUGGGGUCAAGGUUGGUGGUUCGAGCCCGCCCAGGCACGGCUGCGGGCAGGAUUCCUGCAUUGCAGGGAGUUGGACAAGACCACCCCUGGGGGGUCCCUUCCAACUCUACUAUUCUACGAUAUGUAAUCCUAUUUACGUUUAAUAAUAAUAAUAUUUUUUUAUUUAUACCCCGCCCUCCCCAGCCAAAACCGGGCUCAGGGCGGCUAACAGCCAAUAAUAAAAACAAGUUGAUUAAAAUACAGUUUAAAAAAGAUUAAAAUGCAACAUUAAAACAUUAGGAUGCAGCCUCUUCACAGGAGGAGAAAGGAAAAAGAAAGAGGGGGAGGGAAUCAAACUGAUUCUAAGCCAAAGGCCAGGUGGAACAACUCUGUCUUACAGGCCCUGUGGAAAGAAAUCAGAUCCCGCAGGGCCCUGGUCUCAUGAGGCAGAGCGUUCCACCAGGCCGGAGCCAGUGUUGAGAAGGCCCUGGCUCUGGUUGAGGCUAAUCUAAUUUCCUUAGGGCCCGGGACCUCUAGGGUGUUGCUAUAUAUGGACCUUAAGGUCCUUUCUCCGAAAGUAAACCACAUUGAGACUUUACUUCCAGGCAAGAGUGCAAAGGACUUUGUGUGUUGGAUUGCAUCCUUUAGUUGAUGGAUGUGUUGUUGAUGUUUUAAUUCCUCCCUUCUUUUCCUAAGCUUGGGGACAAUGGCCUCCUUGCUCUUGCGGAAUGUGAUGGCUGCUUCGGUGACUUCUGCCAGGUUCCUGAGCUGUGGCACAGCCUCCCGCUUAUUCUCCUCCUGGCUGGUGGGACGCUCAAAGACUGCCAGCCCAUUGCAGACCUUACCUGCCGCCAGACCGUGUCAUGUGGAUCUGCUGCCCUUUCUCACCAGUUGCCCGCCCCUCAGCUUGCAGCCAGUCGCUGGCAUAAAGUGCAAGGCAGUCCUCAGAAGGCGUUGCAAGGACUGUUUCAUUGUCCGCAGGCGUGGCCAUUUGUAUGUGUACUGUAAAACACAUCCGAGGCACAAGCAGAGAAAGUUGUAAGACUACUAGCGGAUGGAAGAAAUUUGUGAGCACAAGUCUUCACUGGACAAUUCUGAUUAUCCUGCAUACAAAAAACAUUGUCUUUUAUAGGAAACCUGGUCCAAUUGUAAGCCAUAGCGGUUUUAAGCCAACCAGCUUUGACGAAUAAAAUCACUUAAAAGUGUUGCUUACUUCAAAAAUUGUUUUAAAAUUAUAGUAUAAUUAUAAUGAAACUGUGUCAAAGAUUUCUUAGUUCAACAAACUAUAAAGUAGUCACCAUCCUAUACGGAAGUUAAGUCUUAUUGAGCACGGUGAUGCUUAUUUCAAGAAUUCAGUACAUCCUAACAAAGGUCACAAAUCAGACAAAGCUAGGAGAGUUUUCACUUGGUGUUUUUUUUAAUCUACCCCAUCACAAUCAGCCAUGGCAGGAUUAUAAUCUUACGUUCUGCUUUCUGCUUCUCUUUUAAAAAUAAUGUAUCUGUGGUUAGAGCAGGGAUAACACUUGACCACACAGUCAUUCUGGACAUGCACCUUAAAUUGUGGCCAUGGGCUCAGCCGGUGAAAGCAAGUAAACCAGCCAUCAUACUGGCAGAUGUCACAAAUGCCCAAGAGUCAGAGCAACCAGUCUGUUUCAUUUGCCUUUCCCCCAUAUCUUGGGUGCAUGUCUACUCAGAAUUAAUCUCCAUUAUAUCUACUUAGAAUUACUUUCCAUUAUGUUUAAUCGGGCUUGGGGAAGUGUGUACAGGAUUAUAACCUCAGUUGUUUUUGACACCUAAUGGUCUAAAAAGGGAACAGUUCACUGGAACUGUGUCAAAGACUUUAGUGUCUGGAGUCCGUUCUUGUCAUAAGCAACCAAGAUUGUGGCAAUCUACAAGCUUGAUCUAACUGAUUUAUAUAAAGUCAAGCUAGUUCUUGUAUCUCUUGACUACUUUAACCUGGCUAUUCUGCUUCAUAUGGGUGAAAGUUAACGUUGCUGUAUAAAUGCAAUGAGGCUGAUACACAGAAAAAUAUCUAGCAAGG